GGGUCAGUAGGUUGGUCGUGCCACCGGUACGUACUGGUCUCACUGAUUCCUCCUUCCUGAAGAACCGUAAUGCCGUUGAUUUGGUGUUGCGGGGAAACAGGACUGUUACUUUGAAAAAAUUAGAGUGUUUAAAGCAAGCUAACGCUUGAAUACAUUAGCAUGGAAUAAUGAAAUAGGACGAUCGAUCCUAUUUUGUUGGUUUCUAGGAUUGACGUA
rnacentral:rRNA from 1 species